ensembl:lncRNA
CUGUUUUUCUGUUAGGCAAACUGAAACUGCACACAUAUUAUCUGUCCAAAACAUUUUUUCAAAACUCAAAGUUUCUCCUUUCUCUCCCUCAAACCAGUCUUUCUCAUACUGGUCAUCUCGUUCCACUACGACAUGUGACGUGCAAUGCAAUUUGUCAGGCAACAUAAUUUCUCUGUCAAAUGGUUUAGUUCUAUUUUUAGUCAGUUCACACAUCAUUUCAGCCCAAUCAGAAUUUAUGAUGUGCCACUCAUAUGCCCAUUUUGGUUCUGCUUGCAGACAGCAAACUUGCUCUCUCUCUGUCACACGGACACCCCGAGAGUCUGCAACCAGUGUCAAAUUUAGUUUGCACAAUAAAUCUCUCCCCAUCAAAGGCACUGGGCAUGCUGGAGCACUGUGAAUCGUUCACAUAUUACGUGCCCUGAUGCAGAAAUUGACUCAUUUGUUUCGCCCGUUAAUUGUGGUUGGCAUGGCAAGUCACAUGGUCAUAUCGUCGAUCUUGAAGCCCCAGAAUCAGCUAAAAACUCAAUCAAUAUCCCCUCUACCAGCAUAGGAUAUUUAGGCAUUCUCAAAAAGGCUUCACUUUUAUACAUUAUCUCACAUUUGUCAGGAUUUUCAUAAACAGAAUCAGACGUACACAAAGGAAAGCAAGCUUUUUCUUCAUUGCAGAGAGCAGAAUGUAAAUCAGUGUAUGUGUGUGUGUAUGUGGUUAGAAAGUUUUCACUUCCCUGACUUGUGGCUGUUGGCUGCUCGCCCUGGACCCCUCCUCUCUGCUCUCCGUCUUCCUUGCUUCAGUCUGCUUCUUGAUUUUGCCGGUCCUCCGGGCAAUUCUUUGCCCAAUGACCGUCCUUUUUGCACAGUCUGCAUCUUGUACACUUGUAGGUCGCAUGCUCAUUAGUCUCGCAGAUCCAACAGCCCCAUCUCUCAGAAUUUCUUCCAAGAUCUUUUCCUCGUCCUUUUCCCUUUCCCCCUUUUGCUUGCUGGUGUCGCUGCGCAGAAUAGCCCCCAGGCUUCGACACUGCUUGCACUACCGCCAGCUGCCACUCUCUGUCGGUCUUGGCUUUAACUCUUUCCUUCUUCGCCGUCUGCAGCUCCUCUGCAUGCAAAGCGUGUGCUAAAACAGCAGAUAGUCGUCCACUUUUCCAUUCAAUGUAGCUGGUCUUGACCGCUUGCGUAAUUUCAGGUCUCAGUCCAUUCAAAAACCAGCUUCGGAGAUGACACUCCCAUGUGUCAGGCUGAUUUCCGCGCUCAUCCGGUUCCUCUAACCCGCUGUGUUUGUUGAAAAUCAGAUACAGGCGGUUGUAAUAGUCCUGAACAGACUCAUCUCUUCCCUGGCAGCAAUUGCCAAUCUUCGCUGUGUCCACACGCGCUGGAAAUGCUAUUUUUAUAGCUUCAGCCAACUCUUCAACAGCUUUGCGGUAGCUUGCAUUAUCAUGGUGUUCCCAUUCACAGUGUUCUCUCCGACAGUCUUCUUUCUGCAGCUUUCCACUCACUUUGUGCCAGCUCGUAGCCCCCAGUUUCACUGCCAGCAGCCUUCUCAGUUCGUGCACGGUUGGGCUGAAUUCUUGGCAGAAGGUGACCAAUUCUGUAGAAAAUUUAUCACCUGCUUCGUCCGGGCUUGGCAAGUGAGCCAUCGCUUCUCUCAUGUCAGUCACAGUCCAUGGUCUGAAGACCAUAAUGGGCCCCUCAGGACCAGAUACUUCGAGCAUUGGAGCUGUUACACUCACAUUUUCUUCUUUCACUGUUUGUCUUGUUUUUCUUUUCUUUGUCGGCGGUGCUCUGCGCACUAUUUCCUCUUCAAUUUCGUCGUUGGGGGUUUCAGGAAUAAUUUCUGGUUCUUCCUCUGCUUCCUGUCCCCAUUCUGGUUCUGCCCGCGGCGCUGUUGGUCUUUUCGGUGGAGAGCGGUCGAGGUCAGGGUCCAUUUUCACGGCUUGCAACUCCGCCACGGGAUAGUGAGGAUAAGGCGGCGGUGCAUGUUUGGAAACACAAAUAUCACAGUUGUUAGUGGAUCUGUGUGAUGCAAUUACUUUUUCUUCACAGUUUCCAUUUUUCUUUUCUUCCUUUCUGCCUGCUAAUUCUUUCUGUAUCGCUCUUCUCUCUCUCUUAUCUGCUUCCUCUAUCCAACAAUUCACCGUUUCCUCACAUUUCUUACACAUAUGUUUCACACAACACCCUCUCUGUCUCUCACUUCCCUCUUCUACUGAUUCCUUCACAGCUUUUAAUCUCUUAACACUCAACGUUCCCUCUUUUGGAAAACCAUGGUAUUUAAUUAAUUUCCCCAUAUCUUGCAUGCAUUUCUGGCCAUAUACCUUUUUCAUUUGCCAAUAUACCGGUGUAUCAUAUUCAACAAGCUUGCUCUGAGACUUUCCCAUAUUUGCUGUUUCCUUCUCUGUGGAUACCCUUUGGCGCGCCUAUAAUCUGUCAGACGUCUCUAACAGAUCCGACUUUUCCGCCCAGUCGGAAAGGCAGAGCGCUCCCUGCGCUCGAACUAAUACCCGCACAGUCUCACUUCCCCUCUUAGAAAUGUGUUAACCGCUUGCGCGUGAUAUCAAUUUUGCUUUGAAAUAUCUGGAUCGUCUUGAUCUCAAUUUCUAACUCAAUUUCUAAUCACGCCAAUUGCAGCAGUUUCAAUUCCCCCCAGAAAUUUAUUGACUGUGCCGUAGUAUUCCUCACAAUCGCAUUCCCCCCCAGAAACUUCUUGAUCAUGGCACUCUGCCACCCACAGUUUCAAUUUCUUUCUCAGAAAUAUUUUAACUGUGCUGCAACUGUCAACGUGAUCUCAGUUCUCCCGGAGACUUCUUGAUUGUGUUUCCCACAGAGAAGGACCCACCGCUAUGGUUCGUCCCUUUCUUUUUCUUAAUUCCAAUUCUAAUCUCUAAAAAACCCCCCAAUUUUUAGAAGAUUAUAAACUGUCUCUUACCCGAGAGUCCUGUUGCCACCCAGGUUCUUUUUGAUUCCAGUGGUGUCCCCUCCGGGCCUCGGCGGUCGGUCCCUCUCUCCCUCAAACCUAUUCGGGGUUAGGGCUGAACGUCUAUUGUCCAGGGGGCGCCGUGAUGGUGACACGCCGUGCCGGUACUUCUCUAGUAUCUCUGUGGACACAGGUGAUGGGCAGUCUGGCUUUGGGUUCCGGCCGUGGAGGAAGGACAGUUGGCCAGACAAGGGUGACAACGCUGCCUGAAUCGAGGAGGGCGAGGACCAAUCGGCCAUUUAUCUUCACUUCCGCCCGUGGGGCCCGCUUUGGGGUUUCCGCAUGGAUGGCACAGCCUGCCAGCCAAGCCCAUCCAGGGGAGUGAGGAGCUUCGGUGGGCAUAGGUUCAUCCUGAGGCCCGGGAACCGCCGGCCUGCCGACUGGUCGCUGGGUGCCCUCCGGCGGGGAAAGGGCGGCGCUCGCUCCCCAGCCUCCCAGUUGGGUGGCCUCCGCCAGCUCGAUGGCCUCCACCAGCUCGUCGAUGUUGGUGUGGUGAAGCAGUAUAUGGUUUUAAUAAAUUUAACUUACGGUGAAAAUUUUCGACUACGCCACCCUGAAUCAAUUAGGGAAUAUCAAAAUAACCCAGCAAUUAACACUAGGACACACAGGUUUGUGUGUGCCAGGAACGUCAGAGACAUGAGCACAAACAAUUUACCAAUGGUCUUUUAUUAAAUGUACAAAACUAGUUAAAAUAGUAUGUUCUUUAAACAAAAGGUGCUCAACGGAACAUGUACAAAUAAUGGCAGUUUACAAGAGAGGUGAUCACAGGGGGCAGUAUAUAAU